rnacentral:rRNA from 1 species
UACGAAGGGGGCUAGCGUUGUUCGGAAUCACUGGGCGUAAAGGGCGCGUAGGCGGCCAUGCGUGUCUUCCGUGAAAUCCCUCGGCUUAACUGAGGACGUGCGGAAGAAACUGCAAGGCUCGAGUCCGGGAGAGGGGGGUGGAAUUCCCAGUGUAGCGGUGAAAUGCGCAGAUAUCAGGAGGAACACCGGUGGCGAAGGCGGGUCUCUGGGCAGUAACUGACGCUGAGGAGCGAAAGCAUGGGGAGCGAACAGG